GGCUGCAAACUCACUCCGCCAGCACAUAAACUACGAUACAGAGAAGAAUAGCAUGGCUCCUGUACAAGGAUGGCACACAAAUUCAUGAAGAGUUCCAUAUUUUU